AAAAGAUUCCAACAACUGGGUGUGAGAACUACUGCAAAAAGAAGUAGUCCUCAGUGGGUACCGCUACCGACCUCAACGGCUCACUCACUAAGUCUACAGAUGUAAACAAGUAUAGCAAGAAAGCUGGAAUAAAUCUACAGCUAUAUGCAUCUAUAAUAUCUCAGUCUAGCACCAACUAUCUGUAGAAAAGUAAAUCCUGACCCAAUAUCGCUAGGGACUGUGAACACACUCGUCCCGCCUAUUGAAGCUACACUAUCUGACACCAAACCAGGUCGUCAGUGGAGAGCAAGUCCAACCAGGACAAAACAACACCAACGCAAAAGCACAAAGCCCAUCUCCGGAGUGGCACUCGCGGGCGCUACCCAACUGAGUAUGCAAGUGUGUCUCUGUCGAGUUCAAUCAGGCUUUCGCAGGCUAUAGUCAAGUAAAUAGGGUCUAACUGGUCUAACAACCAAAACACACAUGCCCUCGGCACAAUCUGAUGCAAAACUGUAAUCUGGGUCCAUCGUCAACUCCAACGGCACCCGACAAUCUAGAACAGUCUGAACAAUACUGUAAAAAUAGGCUCGGCAUCCCAGCACGAGCGUAAUAUUAUUCUACACUAUUUUGGGUAUCCAUCGCCCACAAACUGCGGCGAUACAAACAAAUUACGGCUCCUAGAGCUAAAUCUGGUAGUUUGAUCAAAUGACGGUGUAGAAACGUCAGUUUUCUCCUAAGUCAAAUCCAAGUCCAAUAUGUAUUAUUUUAGCUAAUUUACUAAGCUCCAAUUCGAGUUCAAAAGCAUGCUAUUCCAAGAAUCAAGUUAAACAAUAUACUAAACAAAGCUAAAAAUAUAUGUUGUCGACACAUAUAGAAUUAGGAGGAAACCCGUAGAAUUCGGUAAGCAUCACUUUAACCCACCUCGAAAGCGCAUCCAACAACGGCGAGAAGUCAAAAGAAGCGGAAAUCCCGUGCUCGGCCGGCCCCCAACGGCACUACCACGACGCACGUAGGCUCAAACGGCUCUCCGGCGCGAAGUCGACGUUGCUCCAAGCUACAACUGUCGUGGCCUCCACUAAGUAUAUAAUCAAACUAGAGAGAGAGAAGCAAAAGGCUAAUUAUCCUCAGGCCAAGUUGAGAGGAUAAUUAUAACGAGGGAGUAGGU
rnacentral:lncRNA from 1 species